CUGGUGAGUAACGCGUGGGUAAUCUGCCUUUGGCAUGGGGAUAGCCACUAGAAAUAGUGGGUAAUACCGGAUACGUUCCACGAGGGGAGGACUUGUGGAAGAAAGGCGCUAUGGCGCCGGCCGAAGAUGAGCUCGCGUCCCAUUAGCUAGUUGGUGAGGUAAGGGCCCACCAAGGCGAUGAUGGGUAGCCGGCCUGAGAGGGUGUACGGCCACACUGGGACUGAGAUACGGCCCAGACUCCUACGGGAGGCAGCAGCUAAGAAUAUUCCGCAAUGGACGAAAGUCUGACGGAGCGACGCCGCGUGGAUGAAGAAGGCCGAAAGGUUGUAAAGUUCUUUUGCUGGGGAAGAAUAAGUGUGGGAGGGAAUGCCCGCACGAUGACAUGAACCGGUGAAUAAGCCCCGGCCAACUACGUGCCAGCAGCCGCGGUAACACGUAGGGGGCGAGCGUUGUUCGGAAUUACUGGGCGUAAAGGGCAUGUAGGCGGUCUGGUAAGCCUGGCGUGAAAGUCUGCAGCUUAACUGCAGGGGUGCGCUGGGAACUGCUGGGCUUGAGUGACGGAGAGGGAGCUGGAAUUCCUGGUGUAGGGGUGAAAUCUGUAGAUAUCAGGAAGAACACCGAUGGCGAAGGCAAGCUCCUGGCCGAUGACUGACGCUGAGGUGCGAAAGUGUGGGGAUCAAACAGGAUUAGAUACCCUGGUAGUCCACACGGUAAACGAUGUGCACUAGGUGCUGGGGCGGUAGCCUCAGUGCCGGAGCGAACGUGGUAA
rnacentral:rRNA from 1 species